GAUGAACGCUGACAGCAUGCUUAACACAUGCAAGUCGAUGGGGAAGUGGUGCUUGCCCCAUGGCAACCAUGGCGGACGGGUGAGUAACGCGUAAGGGACUUACCUGCAGGACUGGGAUAACAGGGGGAAACUCCUGACAAGACCGGAUAAUGUCAUGGAGCUGCAUGGCUUUAUGAUGAAAGGAGACGCCUGCGGAGAGCCUUGCGUCCUAUUAGCUAGUUGGUGAGGUAAUGGCUCACCAAGGCGAAGAUAGGUAGCCGGCCUGAGAGGGUGGACGGCCACAAGGGGACUGAGAUACGGCCCUUACUCCUACGGGAGGCAGCAGUGGGGAAUAUUGGACAAUGGGGGCAACCCUGAUCCAGCAAUUCUGUGUGCACGAAGAAGGUUUUCGGAUUGUAAAGUGCUUUCAGCAGGGAAGAAGUAAGUGGCGGUACCUGCAGAAGAAGCGACGGCUAAAUACGUG
rnacentral:rRNA from 1 species